UACGUAGGGGGCAAGCGUUGUCCGGAUUUAUUGGGCGUAAAGAGCGUGUAGGCGGCCAGGCAGGUCCGCUGUGAAAACUCGAGGCUUAACCUCGAGACGUCGGUGGAAACCGUUUGGCUAGAGUCCGGAAGAGGAGAGUGGAAUUCCCGGUGCAGCGGUGAAAUGCGCAGAUAUCGGGAAGAACACCCGUGGCGAAGGCGGCUCUCUGGGACGGUACUGACGCUGAGACGCGAAAGCGUGGGGAGCGAACAGG
rnacentral:rRNA from 1 species